rnacentral:rRNA from 1 species
GAUGAACGCUGGCGGCGUGCUUAACACAUGCAAGUCGAACGAUGAAGCCCAGCUUGCUGGGUGGAUUAGUUGCGAACGGGUGAGUAACACGUGAGUAACCUGCCCUUAACUCUGGGAUAAGCCUGGGAAACUGGGUCUAAUACCGGAUAGGAGCUUCCACCGCAUGGUGGGUGUUGGAAAGAUUUAUCGGUUUUGGAUGGACUCGCGGGCUAUCAGCUUGUUGGUGAGGUAAUGGCUCACCAAGGCGACGACGGGUAGCCGGCCUGAGAGGGUGACCGGCCACACUGGGACUGAGACACGGCGCAGUCGCCUACGGGAGGCAGCGGGGGGGAGUAUUGCACAAUGGGCGCGAGCCUGAUGCAGAGACGCCGCGUGAGGAAUGACGGCCUUCGGGUUGUAAACAUCUUUCAGUAGGGAAGAAGCGAAAGUGACGGUACCUGCAGAAGAAGCACCGGCUAACUACGUG